AAAUCGAUUCCAUUUUCUUUUCUCUCAUGCUCACCUGCCUGUAUAAUUUGGCAAUUUUCAUAAAACUAUUCAUUAAAAAAAUAUAUCUUACAUUCAUGUUUAUGAGCCACUCCACACUGUCUGAUAUGCUUUGUGAGCCAUGGUCAACUUGGAGUCAAAAUAAGAGAUGCAUUAAGUCAUGUAUUACUGUCCUGCAUUGUAACAAAAGAGGCACCGCCUGUGUUUGCGCUGCUGUCAACUCCUCAAGCCUACCGGGUACCCCAGUCACCGUGGUCCCUGUAUCACCACACUGGAAUGCAAAAUAUCAGGUGUAGCAUACAAAUCAUCACUAAAAAUCACAAAUCAAUCAGAUGCUGCCAAAGAUACACUUUGUCUCUGAGAGCUAGGAAAUGGAGAUUUUGUUCCUUGAGAAGACUGUAGCAUCCUCCACACAAGCACCUGUUCUCUUUCUACAUGCACCACCAUCACCUGCUUCCAUAAGCAUUAGACAGCCAUGUGUUUUCCAACUCAGCAGGCAAAAUGUGCAAGCAUAUAUGCAUACUUUACCUAUAUUUUGUGUUACAGUUAAACUGUUCCUGAACAUUCCGUAACGAUUAAAUUACUCACUUAAAUGCUUUUCUCUAAUAUUGGAGUAGUUUGUCCAAAACAAGGAACAACCAAAAGCUGAACCCUUGGGAUGAGAUAUGGACUUUAAAUACCAAGCUCCAUGCUCUUCUCUGGCCAUGUUCCCAACCCUGCAAGAAGAAGAUGGGGAAGCAGAACAGAGGUGCAGAGUUGGGCCAAGAACGAGAACACCCAUAGGUGUGUGAACACCCAUAGGUAUAUAUCACAUCUUGUCAUUGUUUCUAGAAGGUUUUGAUGAGGAGGCUGGUAAGUGGAAUCCAGGGGAAGGUAAGGAUGAGAUGCAGACACCAUGAGAGCUUCUGUCCUUGGUUUUAAUUUCACUGUCAGAAAGAAAACCUAAAACUCUCGUUCUUUCUCUCUCUCUCUCUCUCUCUCUCUCUCUCUCUCUCUCUGUCUCUCUCUCUCCUAUUUUCCUUUCUUCUACUUGUUCACUCUCUCCUUCAAAUUGAAUUCACGGAAUUAAAAAAAAGACAUAAAAUGUAAAUAACAAUCAAUUAGAAAUGUGUUUCUAUUUUUUUCUGUGUACAGCAAUAUUGUGAAGUAAAACAUAAAGUCAUUCUGCCCGCAAAGCCACGUUAUUACUGUGAACAGGAGCUUUUCUCUGUACUUAUGACUGAUGGUUUCUGUACUUCAGUAACGAGUGUACUCUUGAAAAUAUUACCAAGUAAACAAUUUGCUGAAUAAAGAUAUUAGAGGGGGAAAUAGAAUCUAGAAUAUCCCACUGCAGCUUUUAAAGGUUUUCUUAUCAGUCAGUGGAAAGGAGCCGUUUAUUUUCUCAGCAGGUCUCAUUCAUUGUGAAUGUCCCUUGUUCAAACUGAUUCAAUCACCAUCUCCCUAGAUCAAGGUCUAUACAAAUAGUUUGCAUUAGCAUGCUUGGCAAGAGUCUCCUUACCUUUACCUCAACUUCUUUUCUGUUCCUUUUAUAGUUCUUAAAUGAAUACUUAAAAAUGUACUUAUUAUAAACAAAGGAGAGACGAACACAGUAGAAACAGGAUGAGGCUUUCCUCAGCCUCCAUUGCAUCUGCACUUUUCUCUUCACUGCAUGGAAGAGAGGAUGUGAUUUUAAAACUGCACAUGCAGUUCAGGAAAUAAUCAAAGCAAAACUGUAAAUAUCAGAUGCUUGAUAAGAACCAUCCAGGAUGUUGUCAUGUCUAACCUCUAAAUGUGAUCAAACAAUCAGGCCAAUGAGUAGGUCAGAUUGUGGGAAGUGAAAGAGAGAAGCUCAGGACAGGAGAUAAGAGCCUUGAAUCAGGCCAUGAGUUCCAAGGUAGACAAUAGGGAAGCAUGAAGAACCCAAACUUAUCAUUAUAGGUCUUCUCUGCCUUGGUCUAGGGGCUUUCACCCUUAGAUUCUCAUGAUAGCCCUGUUAAUAGUCCAUCAUUAUUCACCUUCCAUACUGUAGAAUCUUGGAUAGGCUUAUGGCUGUGUAGCAUGUGAGAGUCUAACCAUCCCUCAGUGAGAGACUUAGUCUUUCAUUGCAUAUGGGAUCAAUCCCCUGUGAUUAGUUCCUGAUGCUUAAACAAGAGGAGGUUGGAGUAAUCUCUUUUCUAUUGUAUGAGGAAGGUAUGGUUAGUAGAUGCAGUUGAAAGUGGAGGAGAAGCAGUUUCCUCAGUGCUAAGAUGUUUAUGCUCCUGUCAAUAACCAGUUAUCCUUGACUCUCUAAAAAGCUGCCAUGAAACUCAUUGGAUCAAGAAACAAGUCAUGAAAGGAAAUAGUUAGGAGAAGAAGUUAUCAUGGAGGUAGAAGGGGGCUAAUUAGGAGAGAGAAGAGAAUGAGAAGAUCUGUAGGGGAUAAAAGCAUUGUGGGGGAUGGUUAUUUUGACAUUCAUUAUAUGCCUGUAUGGAAGAGUCACAUUAAAACCCAUCCUGUGUACUUAAUGGACAUCAUUAAAAACACGAAAUAUACUAUGAAAGAACAGAGGAUGAAGGAAGGCAGCAAGCUACACAGAAACCACCAGUAGCAAUGCUCGAUGGGAUGCUGAUCGCAUAUCUGGACAGCCUCUGCCUUGGACCUUUCAGUGAGGAAGCCUGAAGCAUUAUGCAUGCUGCCAUCAUGCCCCAGCAGCUGAAAUUGGUGAAGAAUUAAAGAGGCAUAGGUGUACAAAGACCUGGCAUGGUAUAACAACAAGAUCUCUACUUUGGAAGAUUGUGUAAAAUUUAAAAGCAUAACUGAGACUCAAUGAGAACAUGGUGUUUGCAGUAGAUGAGGGUAUUAACUAAAUGUAUAUGGACUGUCCAAGGCAGGGUUCUCAAGUUAAGUCACUGUAUUUAGCAUUUGAAACUACAGGUCAUAAGCUCUGGUGUAAAAUAUCCAGUUGAUAGCAUAGGCUGAUAUUUAUCUUAAUUGUGUAUAGACACUGAGUCUUUUCCUACAGUUGUUGACUCUUCUAACAACUGUCAAAUAAAUCAAAUUUAUUUUAAGUAAAAGUCCUUCAGAAAUCAGUCCAUGAGAGAGAAGCCACACAGGCCACUUUGUAAACAGUGCUAAGUUGAGUAUGUUUUCCAUGCAAAAGCAAAGGUCAAGAGCUGUACAACAGCUUUCCGAAGCUAACAGGGGGUAAAAAAAAUCACUGAGAGAAGAUGCCCUAUGUGCUGUGACUCCUGACCCUGUGUUCUAAGUCUACUGUCUUGGAAAUGUGUGUUCUCAGCAGGGGUUCAUGGCCAAUAACAUGAAAUACUCUUAGUACAAUUC
rnacentral:lncRNA from 1 species